rnacentral:rRNA from 1 species
GCAUAACGCGAAGAACCUUACCAGGCCUUGACAUCCUGAGAACCCUCCCGAAAAGGAGGGGUGCCCUUCGGGGAACUCAGUGACAGGUGCUGCGUGGCUGUCGUCAGCUCGUGUCGUGAGAUGUUCGGUUAAGUCCGGCAACGAGCGCAACCCUCGCCAUUAGUUGCCAGCAUUUCGGAUGGGCACUCUAGUGGGACUGCCUAUGAAAGUAGGAGGAAGGCGGGGAUGACGUCUAGUCAGCAUGGUCCUUACGGCCUGGGCGACACACGUGCUACAAUGGCCGGUACAACGCGCUGCCACCUCGCGAGAGGGAGCUAAUCGUUAAAGCCGGUCCCAGUUCGGAUUGCAGUCUGCAACUCGACUGCAUGAAGUUGGAAUCGCUAGUAAUCGCGGAUCAGCCAUGCCGCGGUGAAUACGUUCCCGGGUCUUGUACACACCG